rnacentral:rRNA from 1 species
GGCGAACGGGUGAGUAACACGUGAGGAACCUGCCCCGAAGACCGGGAUAACUCUCCGAAAGGGGAGCUAAUACUGGAUGUCCCCGCUGGAUCGCAUGGUCUGGUGAGGAAAUGGUUUGUUCUGCUUCGGGAGGGUCUCGCGGCCUAUCAGCUUGUUGGUGAGGUAAUGGCUCACCAAGGCGUCGACGGGUAGCUAGUCUGAGAGGACGAAUAGCCACACUGGGACUGAGACACGGCCCAGACUCCUACGGGAGGCAGCAGUGGGGAAUCUUGCGCAAUGGGCGGAAGCCUGACGCAGCAACGCCGCGUGGGGGAUGAAGGCUUUCGGGUUGUAAACCCCUUUCAGCAGGGACGAUGAUGACGGUACCUGCAGAAGAAGGACCGGCCAACUACGUGCCAGCAGCCGCGGUAAUACGUAGGGUCCGAGCGUUGUCCGGAUUUAUUGGGCGUAAAGAGCUCGUAGGUGGCUUCGUAAGUCGGGUGUGAAAACCCCAGGCUCAACCUGGGGACGCCACUUGAUACUGCGGUAGCUUGAGUCUGGUAGGGGAUCUCGGAAUUCCUGGUGUAGCGGUGAAAUGCGCAGAUAUCAGGAGGAACACCAGUGGCGAAGGCGGAGAUCUGGGCCAGUACUGACACUGAGGAGCGAAAGCGUGGGGAGCGAACAGGAUUAGAUACCCUGGUAGUCCACGCCGUAAACGUUGGGCACUAGGUGUGGGGACCUAUCGACGGUUUCCGUGCCGUAGCUAACGCAUUAAGUGCCCCGCCUGGGGAGUACGGCCGCAAGGCUAAAACUCAAAGGAAUUGACGG